rnacentral:rRNA from 1 species
AGUCGAGCGNNGAACUACUUCGGUAGUGAAUUAGCGGCGAACGGGUGAGGAACACGUGAGGAAUCUGCCUUCUACACUGGGAUAACUCCGGGAAACCGGGGCUAAUACCGGAUAUGAAACUUGGUGGCAUCACCGAGUUUGGAAAGUUUUUCGGUAGAAGAUGACCUCGCGGCCUAUCAGCUUGUUGGUGAGGUAAUGGCUCACCAAGGCGACGACGGGUAGCCGGCCUGAGAGGGCGACCGGCCACACUGGGACUGAGACACGGCCCAGACUCCUACGGGAGGCAGCAGUGGGGAAUAUUGGGCAAUGGAGGAAACUCUGACCCAGCGACGCCGCGUGCGGGAUGAAGGCCUUCGGGUUGUAAACCGCUUUCAGUAGGGAAGAAGCGAAAGUGACGGUACCUACAGAAGAAGCACCGGCUAACUAUGUGCCAGCAGCCGCGGUAAUACAUAGGGUGCAAGCGUUGUCCGGAAUUAUUGGGCGUAAAGAGCUCGUAGGUGGUUCGUUACGUCGGAUGUGAAAAUCUGGGGCUCAACCCCAGACCUGCAUCCGAUACGGUCGAGCUAGAGUUUGGUAGGGGAGACUGGAAUUCCUGGUGUAGCGGUGGAAUGCGCAGAUAUCAGGAGGAACACCAAUGGCGAAGGCAGGUCUCUGGGCCAAUACUGACACUGAGGAGCGAAAGCGUGGGGAGCGAACAGGAUUAGAUACCCUGGUAGUCCACGCCGUAAACGGUGGGCGCUAGUUGUGGGAACCUUCCACGGUUUCUGCGACGCAGCUAACGCAUUAAGCGCCCCGCCUGGGGAGUACGAUCGCAAGAUUAAAACUCAAAGGAAUUGACGGGGCCCCGCACAAGCAGCGGANCAUGCGGCUUAAUUCGACGCAACGCGAA